ACGGCCAUACCAUGUUGAAUAUACCGGUUCUCGUUAGAUCACCGAAGUCAAGCAUCAUUGGGCGCGGUCAGUACUUGGGUGGGUGACCACCUGGAAACACCGCGUGCCGU
rnacentral:rRNA from 1 species